GAAAGUCGUGUGCAAUGAGAAUUGCAAGCACAGUUUGGGGAGAGAUUUCUGACUCUUACUAAUACUGAAGGAGCAGAUCAUUCACUCCAU
rfam:Picea glauca, whole genome shotgun sequence.